CUAGCUGGUCUGAUAGGAUGAUCAGCCACACUGGAACUGAGACACGGUCCAGACUCCUACGGGAGGCAGCAGUGGGGAAUAUUGGACAAUGGGGGCAACCCUGAUCCAGCCAUGCCGCGUGUGUGAAGAAGGCUUUCGGGUUGUAAAGCACUUUCAGUUGUGAGGAAAGGUUGGUAGUUAAUACCUGCCAGCUGUGACGUUAACAACAGAAGAAGCACCGGCUAACUCCGUGCCAGCAGCCGCGGUAAUACGGAGGGUGCGAGCGUUAAUCGGAAUUACUGGGCGUAAAGCGCACGUAGGCGGAUCAGAAAGUUGGGGGUGAAAUCCCGGGGCUCAACCCCGGAACUGCCUCCAAAACUCCUGGUCUUGAGUUCGAGAGAGGUGAGUGGAAUUCCGAGUGUAGAGGUGAAAUUCGUAGAUAUUCGGAGGAACACCAGUGGCGAAGGCGGCUCACUGGCUCGAUACUGACGCUGAGGUGCGAAAGUGUGGGGAGCAAACAGGAUUAGAUACCCUGGUAGUCCACGCUGUAAACGAUGUCUACUAGCCGUCGGGGUCCUUAGUGACUUUGGUGGCGCAGCUAACGCGAUAAGUAGACCGCCUGGGGAGUACGGCCGCAAGGUUAAAACUCAAAUGAAUUGACGGGGGCCCGCACAAGCGGUGGAGCAUGUGGUUUAAUUCGACGCAACGCGAAGAACCUUACCUGGCCUUGACAUCUGUGGAACUUGGUAGAGAUACCUUGGUGCCUUCGGGAACCGCAAGACAGGUGCUGCAUGGCUGUCGUCAGCUCGUGUCGUG
rnacentral:rRNA from 14 species